ensembl:rRNA 5S_rRNA 5S ribosomal RNA
ACAGGCAGCCAUAUCACCCUGCAGCCCAAGACUGGUAGCCCACUGAAGCUAAGCAGGGCUGGGCUUUGUCAGUACCUGGAUGGGAGACCUCCUGGGAAAACUAGGUUGCUGCUGGAA